GAUGAACGCUGACAGAAUGCUUAACACAUGCAAGUCCACUUGAACUUCGGUUUGGGUGGCGGACGGGUGAGUAACGCGUAAAGAACUUGCCUCACAGAUAGGGACAACAUUUGGAAACGAAUGCUAAUACCUGAUAUUAUGAUUAUAUGGCAUCGUAUAAUUAUGAAAGCUAUAUGCGCUGUGAGAGAGCUUUGCGUCCCAGUAGCUAGUUGGAGAGGUAACGGCUCACAAAGGCGAUGAUGGGUAGCCGGCCUGAGAGGGUGAUCGGCCACAAGGGGACGGAGACACGGCCCUUACUCCUACGGGAGGAAGCGGUGGGGAAUAUUGGACAAUGGACCAAGAGUCUGAUCCAGCAAUUCUGUGUGCACGAUGAAGUUUUUCGGAAUGUAAAGUGCUUUCAGUUGGGAAGAAAAAAAUGACGGUACCAACAGAAGAAGUGACGGCUAAAUACGUG
rnacentral:rRNA from 1 species